GAAAGACUCCUGCUGCUUCCUACUAGACGUGAGGCUUGCACUGCUCCCGCCAUGGAGCUCAGAUCAUGCCCUGGAGAAGCAGGUGACAUCGCGGAAUUUUCCUGGUGAGAGCAGGCAAGAGGAGGAGCCCCUCCAUCCUCCCACCUGGGUCUGGGGCUCAGAAUCUUCCCUGCUUUCUUGUUGAGUGGCUGGAAACUCCGGGAGUUGUGGCAGGCCAGGAGGCCGGCUUAUCCCCAGGAGGGGGCUUUGGAGGCUAGAUUCAUAUCCUAGGGCUGUUCUAACAAAAAUGAUCAAAAACCAGGUGGCUUAGAACAACAAUAAUUCAUUCUCUUGCAGUUCCAGAUGCCAGAAGUCUGAAAUGAAGGUGUAAAGCAGGGUGGUUCCUUCUGGAGGCUCUGAGAGAAUCACCCCAGGCCUCUCUCCAGCUUCUGGUGCUGGUAUUCUCAGGCUUGUAGGCGCAUCACCCAUGUCUGCCUCCAUCUUCACAUGGCCUUCUCCUCUGUGUCUGCCUGAAGUCUCCCUUCAUUUCUCUUGUAAGGACAUCAGUCAUUGGAUUUAGAGCCCACCCUAAACCCAGAAUGAUCUCAUCUCAAGAUUACAUCUGCACAGACGCUAUUUCCAGAUAAGGUCACAGUCAAAGGUACCAGGGGUUAGGAUAUGAACAUAUCUUUUUGAAAGACACGAUUUAACCUACAGCAGGUGCUCAGGGCAGUUGGGUGGGGGCCUGUGCUAGGGGCCCAACAGCCAAGGCUUAAAGCCGCACUCCACACCUAGGCCUGUGACACCUCCCACAAGCUUCUUCACCUCUCAAGCCUCAACUUCUACUUCUGCAAACAGGGAACAAUAAAAGUAUCUCCCUGCCCCCACCUUGCAGGGUUUCCAGUUCCAAUGUCUACACACUCACCUGGGAGUUAUCUGAAAUUGUUGUUCACCUGCUUAAACCUUUUGAGUUUCCAGCACCCCCCAGAAGUCCCCACCCUCUAGUCCCUUAGCAAGAUACUGGCCCUGCGUGAGCUUCCCACCUUCCUUGACAGCUGCAUCUCUCAUCAUUAGGACCUGGGCAACACUGCAGAAUAUGGCAGGUCUUCCCUCAUCUCUGUGCUUUGCCUCCAUUCCCUGACUUCUCUCCCAUCCUCCUCCUGUCACCUGGCCUCUCCCCAUCCUACUGGCCUUAAAGCUCAGCUCCUGAAGCCUCCCUGAUGCUCCUCCCUUCAUAGCCCCUCCCAGCCUGGCCACGUGGGCUCGGGCAGCCCAGAGCCUGGGCCUCCUGGUCACACUCUGAGCACACAGCCCAUUUUCUCUCCAGUGCUGGCUUGUGUUUGACACCAUGCCUGACACAUUGGGGGUGCUCAGUAGACCUGUGUGAGAUGGACAGCCUCCCGUACAGAUGGACGGACAGAUGUACAGGUAGGUGAAUGAACUUUCGUUGCCCCUAAAGCAGGAGAGACUCUGAGUUUCUGAGACAACGGCCAAGAACUUUCUGAUAAGAUCUCUGCAUUUAAGGUUCAGAAAAACUCGAUGAGGACAAUAUUUUUCUCCCGAUUUUGCAGAUAAGAAAAUAGAGGCAUAGAGAAGUCACUUGCUAGUAAAUGUUAGAGGCAGCUUUCUAACCCAGGUCCAUGUGAACCCAGAAAAAGAGGCAGUGAGCACCUGUUCACCCAGGAGCAGCUCUCAGAAGAUAAGAUAAUACGAGGAGGAGGCAGCAGACCCCUAUGCCACGCGUCCACCUGGGGCUGUCCAUCACUUCCUGCAAGAUCUUGCUGGUAGCCAGAUUCUCAGAGACCCCCAGUGAGCCCCGCCUCCUGGUUUUCACACCCUGUGUAGUUUCCUUUCCCCAGGGAUGGUCCAAGUGACCAGCAGCCCGUGGCAGAAGUGAUGGAAUAGCACUUCCAAGCUUAGGUUAUGAAAGAUUGCAGCUUCAAUCUCCUGCCCCACACCCCGUCUCUCUCUCUAACCCCACUCCCUCCCUCCCUCUCUCAUCUCUGACUCUGGGGGAAGCACACUGCAGCCCCGUGGAGAUGCCCUGUGUAAGCCACUGAAGCCUCUGGCCAACAGCAGUGGGAACCUGAGACGUGUCCACAAGCAUGCAUGGGAGCUUGGAAGUGGAUCCUUCAGCCCCAGCCAAGCCUUCAGACGAUGCAGCCUCAGGGACAGUAUGACUGCAGCCUCAUGAGACCCUGAGCCAGAAACACCCCUCCAAGCCACUCCCAGAUGCCUGGCCCUCAGAACCUGGGAGGCCAGCAAGCAGGAUCGCUCACCAGCCACCCUCCUGAACUGGCCUAUGGGGCCCCAGGAUGAUGCCAUAGCCACAAGUCUGGAGUUCCUCAAAGUACCUGGUCAGCACAACUCAGUUAAACAAUGGGCAAAAGACCUGAACAGACACUUCGCCAGAGAAGAUGUACAGAUGCAAGUAAGCAUUUGAAAAGGUGCCCCACAUCGUAUGUCGUUAGGGAAUGGUCCAAUCCAGAACACUGAUGGCACCAAAGGCUGCUGAGCAUGUGGAGCAGCAGAACUCUCAUUCACUGCUGGUGAGAAAAAUGGCGCAGCCCCAAUAGGGAACCCUAAUGCAGACUCUGGACUUCACUGGAAAUGACGUGUCAGUGUAGCUGCGUCAGUUGUAACAAAUGCACCAGUCUGGUGGGCGUGUUGAUAACCGGGGCUGCGCACGUGGGGAGAGAGGACCUGUGGGAAUGCUCUACUUUCCACUCAUUUUUGCUGUGAACUUAAAACUGCUCUUACAAAAUAACAUUGUUUGUUGUUGUUGUUGUUGUUGUUGUUGUUGUUGUUUUUAAGUAUCUAGUCAGCUCCACACAUGACCCGGGCAGAGUGGGAAGUUGUAGAGUGCCCCAAGGAGAGAAAUGGAACCAGGUCUCAUGUGGGGCCAAGUGUGGGCUCCCUGUCCUCUCAGCUGGUCCCAGGAACUGAAGGGAAAUUUAGACAACUUGGAGAAAGACACUCUAGGGCUCGGGGCAAAGGGUGGUGUUGAUGAGAACCAUAUUUUUUUAUUGCUGGUGUAAGCACUUGUAUUUUUCUGAUUUUCCACUGGUUCGAUAAUAAGGGUAAAAGACAAUAAAGCAUACUUUUUAAGCUUUUGUUUAGAAGUUUUUUUUCCAAUAAAACUUCCCCAAAA
rnacentral:lncRNA from 10 species